rnacentral:lncRNA from 1 species
AAAAAAAAAAAUCAAAUUAAGCUGCUGCCCUCGGGAUGAGGCGAUUUAUAACCAUGAGGCUGAAACGGACCAGGGAUUUAUCCGGGGGGAUCUGCCCAUAAUGACAUUUAGCUCCUGAUAUAAAUGCUAAAGCCCAAUAAAAUUAUAUAUACACACAGAGUCCAUCACCACCACCUAAUCGGCUGAGACCGACCGCGGCCUGGAUAAAGCCAGUGCCCAGCUAAGGGAGGGCAGAGCCCCUCGCUAGGCACCGCAGUGCCGGCCCAGGGGAACAUCUGGCCAGCUGUGGCCCCUCCACCACCUCCCCGGCACGCUGCUCCUGCCCAGCGCGGGCAAUCGGCCUGGCAGCCCUGGCCAAAAGCCAAAAAUCCCACCCGGGACAAGGGGCCGAGCAGCCGGGGGCGAGGGGAGCGCUGGGGCGAAGCCAGCUCCGCGCCGGGGCCGCCCGCCCCCGGGGCCCGGGGAGGGAGAGGCACCCGCAAGCACGGCUGCUUUAUUUUCACUUGAGGUUCUUGCAAUUUUGUAAAGAGCAAAUGGCUUCAUUCCGCGUGGUUAAUAGCCCGGCCGAGCCGUGCCGCCGUGCCGUGACAUCCUGCCUGGAAUAACAAGCGCCCGGGCUGCAGCAGUCAAGGGUAAUUUGCCACGGGAAAGGGUCAUUUUACCUGCAAAUUGUUUUCCACGGCUCCCCCAAUGCAGAGUGACAGGUCUCCUGCUCCGGGCUCGCAGUCAGGCGAGCGACAGCCCCGCACCGGGACGCGGAGCGCGAGGCCGGGGGCGCUGGGACCGCGCCGGCUGUGCUCAAGCAGCCGUGGCAGCUCGGCGGGGAGAGGCGCCGUGGGGCCCACUGGAGCGUGGCCACGGAAGGAAGCCACGAUCCGGGCAGCUUGGCUGAGUUCAGCCGUCCGUCGGGCGAGCUGCGGGAGCACACGGGCCGCGGAGAGGCAGCAUCCGGCCUUUGCGUGGCUUCCCCCGUCAGUACGCUGCUUGCACCGCGCACACCUUUGUGCACGGCUCCUUGCACACCUCCACCCGGUGCUGCUUGCUCCAUGCACACCCCCCCCAGUGCUGUUUGCUCUGUGCACACCUAUUUGCACACCUCCACCUGGUGCUGCUUGCUCUGUGCACACCUAUUUGCACACCUUCACCUGGCACUGCUUGCUCUGUGCACACCUAUUUGCACACCUUUACCUGGCGCUGCUUGCACUGUGCAUGCCUCUUUGCACACCUCCACCUGGUGCUGCUUGCU